rnacentral:rRNA from 1 species
GAUGAACGCUAGCUACAGGCUUAACACAUGCAAGUCGAGGGGCAGCAAUAUUUAGCAAUAAAAAGAUGACGACCGGCGCACGGGUGAGUAACACGUAUCCAAUCUGCCUUUUACUCGGGGAUAGGCUUUCGAAAGAAAGAUUAAUACCCGAUGGUAUGUUUUUCCUGCAUGGGGAUUACAUUAAAGAAUUUCGGUAAAAGAUGAGGAUGCGUUCCAUUAGAUAGUUGGUAGGGUAACGGCUUACCAAGUCUACGAUGGAUAGGGGUUCUGAGAGGAAGGUCCCCCACACUGGUACUGAGACACGGACCAGACUCCUACGGGAGGCAGCAGUGAGGAAUAUUGGUCAAUGGGCGCGAGCCUGAACCAGCCAAGUAGCGUGAGGGAUGACUGCCCUAUGGGUUGUAAACCUCUUUUAUAUGGGAAUAACAGGUUCUACGUGUAGAAUUUUGCAUGUACCAUUAUGAAUAAGCAUCGGCUAACUCCGUGCCAGCCGC